rnacentral:rRNA from 1 species
GACGAACCGAGCGAACGUUGUUCGGAAUCACUGGGCUUAAAGGGCGCGUAGGCGGGCUGCCGCGUCCGGGGCGAAAUCCCACGGCUCAACCGUGGAACGGCCCCGGGUACGGGCGGCCUCGAGGGGGGUAGGGGCGUGCGGAACUGUGGGUGGAGCGGUGAAAUGCGUUGAUAUCCACAGGAACUCCGGUGGCGAAGGCGGCACGCUGGACCCCUUCUGACGCUGAGGCGCGAAAGCCAGGGGAGCGAACGGG